rnacentral:tRNA from 1 species
CGGGGUGUAGCCUAGCGGCUAAGGCACUCGCUUUGGGAGCGAGAGAUCGCAGGUUCAAAUCCUGUCACCCCGA